rnacentral:lncRNA from 1 species
AAAAAGUUGGGGGGUGACCCCAUGCCAUGAGGCAAUUAUGCAAGCGUGUGCUCCAUGCCUGACUUCUCAUGUACGUGAAGCCGACACCCCAACACCGAGAGGGAAGUCCUGAAGCCACGACAUGUCGAGGACGUUGAUCCGAGUGGCACAAUUGGUGGAGAAAGGAAGGUGGAUGACCUACUUGACAACUCAAGAUCAC